GAUGAACGCUGGCGGCGUGCUUAACACAUGCAAGUCGAGCGAAGCACUUUUGCAGAUUUCUUCGGAUUGAAGCAAUUGUGACUGAGCGGCGGACGGGUGAGUAACGCGUGGGUAACCUGCCUCAUACAGGGGGAUAACAGUUGGAAACGGCUGCUAAUACCGCAUAAGCGCACAGUACCGCAUGGUACCGUGUGAAAAACUCCGGUGGUAUGAGAUGGACCCGCGUCUGAUUAGCUAGUUGGUGGGGUAACGGCCUACCAAGGCGACGAUCAGUAGCCGACCUGAGAGGGUGACCGGCCACAUUGGGACUGAGACACGGCCCAAACUCCUACGGGAGGCAGCAGUGGGGAAUAUUGCACAAUGGGGGAAACCCUGAUGCAGCGACGCCGCGUGAGCGAUGAAGUAUUUCGGUAUGUAAAGCUCUAUCAGCAGGGAAGAAAAUGACGG
rnacentral:rRNA from 1 species